rnacentral:rRNA from 1 species
GACGUAGGGUGCAAGCGUUUGUCCGGAUUUAUUGGGCGUAAAGAGCUCGUAGGCGGCUUGUUGCGUCGACUGUGUAAUUCUAUGGCUUAACUGUGGGCUGGCAGUCGAUACGGGCAGGCUGGAGUUCGGUAGGGGAGACUGGAAUUCCUGGUGUAGCGGUGGAAUGCGCAGAUAUCAGGAGGAACACCGGUGGCGAAGGCGGGUCUCUGGGCAGUAACUGACGCUGAGGAGCGAAAGCGUGGGGAGCGAACAGG